AAAUUACACUAUUUUACAUCAUUUAACCCAUAAUUGACUUUUGGUCAACUAUUGACUUUUUCGUCAAAUAGUUGACCAGAGUCAACUGACCCUCAUAGACCCUACUUCUUUCAUCCCGUCAUGAGUCCUCCAUGUUUGAGCUUCCAUGCCACACCAAAGUGGUGUUCAUACAAUGUGUCAAACUUACAAAAACAUACCAAAUCACAUACACAAUGAGUCCCAA
rnacentral:lncRNA from 1 species